GGAUGUGAGGGCAAUCUGGCUGGAACAUCUGUCACUCCGUUGAUCGCCAGGGUUAAUUCAGCUGAUUUGGCUGCAUCUCUCCUGAAACUGCAUGCUUGGUCGAAGAGGAUGACCAUCCCCAAUAGAAGAAGACCAGUCUUUGGUUAAGAGUAUACGAGUAUCUGCGCUGCCUUGCUAGAACUCCCAAACAAGCCCUCAAAAUAGAUGCUCAAUAAAUAGUUGUAGAUUGAAAAAGAAAAGCAUCCGCCAAUGCUUGUUACCAUGUGGAAUCCCAGGCCCU
rnacentral:snRNA from 1 species